rnacentral:rRNA from 1 species
AUGAUCAAACACUCAAGUAAAACGGGACAAAAUGAUGUAGCACCUCAAGGUGCUAAUGGCAAGCAGGCUAACAAAACCUGGAGACUAAAAAUUCCAUCUGGUCCUUUUUUUAAAACUAAAAAUUCCAUCUGGUUCUGGUGUACACAUGCUUGUCCUCCAUCGCCGCUUCCAGAUUAUUGUUGUUUAGAUCCCAGAAGCAGUUCUCUCAAUUACAGGGAACAAUUCUCUCGAUCACUAGGAACAAUUCCGAACAGGAACAACUCGGAGGAGGGAUUCAAGAGAGAGAGGAGGAGGAGCCUCCCUCGUCAGGGUCCUUCGGUUCAGUUUCGUGAUCCAACCGGAUGCCGAUAA